CUCUUCCUGGGCAGUAAUGCCCAGGCCUCAUUGAAGC
rfam:Azospirillum lipoferum strain R1C genome assembly, contig: Ga0048941_12